UAAGUGCUGAAAGCAUCUAAGCACGAAACUUGCCCCGAGAUGAGUUCUCCCUGACUCCUUGAGAGUCCUGAAGGAACGUUGAAGACGACGACGUUGAUAGGCCGGGUGUGUAAGCGCAGCGAUGCGUUGAGCUAACCGGUACUAAUGAACCGUGAGGCUUAACCUUACAACGCCGAAGGUGUUU
rnacentral:rRNA from 1 species